AAACCUCAGCGAUGGAUAUCUCGGCUCUUGUAACGAUGAAGAACGCAGCCAACUGCGAAAAGCACUGCGAAUUGCAGAACACCGUGAGUCAGUAGAUCUUUGAACGCAACCGGCGCCCUCUGGGCAUGUUUGCUUCAGUGCCU